rnacentral:rRNA from 1 species
AUACGGAGGGUGCAAGCGUUAUUCGGAAUCACUGGGCGUAAAGGACGCGUAGGCGGGUUGGCAAGUCAGAUGUGAAAUCCUACAGCUUAACUGUAGAACUGCAUUUGAAACUGCUAACCUAGAGUAUGGGAGGGGGAGAUGGAAUUAGUGGUGUAGGGGUAAAAUCCGUAGAUAUCACUAGGAAUACCGAAAGCGAAGGCGAUCUCCUGGAACAUAACUGACGCUAAGGCGUAAAGCGUGGGGAGCAAACAGGAUUAGAAACCCCAGUAGUCC